CCUACGGGUGGCAGCAGUGAGGAAUAUUGGUCAAUGGGCGAGAGCCUGAACCAGCCACGCCGCGUGAGGGAGUACUGCCCUCUGGGUUGUAAACCUCUUUAGUAGGGGAGCAAAAGCCGGACGUGACCGGCUGUGAGAGUACCCGUAGAUAAAGCAUCGGCUAACUCCGUGCAAGCAGCCGCGGUAAUACGGAGGAUGCGAGCGUUAGCCGGAUUUAUGGGGGUUAAAGGGUGCGUAGGCGGACGCUUAUGUCAGCGGUAAAAUUGCGGGGCUAAACCUCGUCGAGCCGUUGAAACUGGGUGCCUUGAGUGGGGGAGAAGUACGCGGAAUGCGAGGUGUAGCGGUGAAAUGCAUAGAGAUAAGGAGGAACUCCGAUGGCGAAGGCGGCGUACCGGCGCCCAACUGACGCUGAAGCGCGAAGGCGUGGGUAUCGAACAGGAUUAGAUACCCCAGUAGUC
rnacentral:rRNA from 1 species